rnacentral:rRNA from 1 species
UAGGGAAUCUUCCACAAUGGACGCAAGUCUGAUGGAGCAACGCCGCGUGAGUGAAGAAGGUUUUCGGAUCGUAAAGCUCUGUUGUUGGUGAAGAAGGAUAGAGGUAGUAACUGGCCUUUAUUUGACGGUAAUCAACCAGAAAGUCACGGCUAACUACGUGCCAGCAGCCGCGGUAAUACGUAGGUGGCAAGCGUUGUCCGGAUUUAUUGGGCGUAAAGCGAGCGCAGGCGGAAGAAUAAGUCUGAUGUGAAAGCCCUCGGCUUAACCGAGGAACUGCAUCGGAAACUGUUUUUCUUGAGUGCAGAAGAGGAGGGUGGAAUUCCAUGUGUAGCGGUGGAAUGCGUAGAUAUAUGGAAGAACACCAGUGGCGAAGGCGACUCUCUGGUCUGCAACUGACGCUGAGGCUCGAAAGCAUGGGUAGCGAACAGG